UUGCCAGCGGGUAAUGCCGGGAACUCUGUUCAGACUGCCCAGAUCAACUGGGAGGAAGGUGGGGACGACGUCAGGUCAGUAUGGCCCUUACGCCUUGGGCUGCACACGUACUACAAUGCCCGGCACAAUGAGAACCGAAACCGCGAGGUUGAGGAAAUCUGGAAAACCGGGCCCAGUUCGGAUUGGAGGCUGCAACCCGCCUCCAUGAAGUUGGAAUCCGUAGUAAUCGCGUUUCAACAGAACGCGGUGAAUACGUCCCUGCUCCUU
rnacentral:rRNA from 1 species